GGUCCCACCCCUUCCCAUCCCGAACAGGACCGUGAAACGACUCCACGCCGAUGAUAGUGCGGAUUGCCCGUGUGAAAGUAGGUAAUCGUCAGGC
rnacentral:rRNA from 1 species